CGCCUCUUGCAAAACUUAAGAAUAAGAGGUCCCGCCUGCCCUGUGACUAUAUGUUUAACGGCCGCGGUAUCCUGACCGUGCGAAGGUAGCGUAAUCACUUGUCUUUUAAAUGGAGACCUGUAUGAAUGGCAUAACGAGGGCUUAACUGUCUCCUUUUUCCAGUCAAUGAAAUUGAUCUCUCCGUGCAGAAGCGGGGAUAAAACCAUAAGACGAGAAGACCCUAUGGAGCUUUAGACACUAAGGUAGAUCGUGUUAAGCACCCCCUGACAAAGGGCCAAACCCUAUGAAUCCUACCCUAAUGUCUUUGGUUGGGGCGACCGCAGGGAAAUAAAAAACCCCCGCGUGGAACGGGAGUACUCUCCUCCUACUACCAAGAGCUACCGCUCUAAUAAACAGAAUCUCUGACCCAUUAGAUCCGGCAACGCCGAUUAACGAACCAAGUUACCCUAGGGAUAACAGCGCAAUCCUCUUUUAGAGCCCAUAUCGACAAGAGGGUUUACGACCUCGAUGUUGGAUCAGGACAUCCUAAUGGUGCAGCCGCUAUUAAGGGUUCGUUUGUUCAACGAUUAAAGUCCUACGUGAUCUG
rnacentral:rRNA from 1 species